AGACAAGCCUGCUUGCCGGAGCUCAGCAGACACCAGGCCUUCCGGGCAGGCCUGGCCCACCGUGGGCCUCAGAGCUGCUGCUGGGGCAUUCAGAACCGGCUCUCCAUUGGCAUUGGGACCAGAGACCCCGCAAGUGGCCUGUUUGCCUGGACAUCCACCUGUACGUCCCCAGGUUUCGGGAGGCCCAGGGGCGAUGCCAGACCCCGCGGCGCACCUGCCCUUCUUCUACGGCAGCAUCUCGCGUGCCGAGGCCGAGGAGCACCUGAAGCUGGCGGGCAUGGCGGACGGGCUCUUCCUGCUGCGCCAGUGCCUGCGCUCGCUGGGUGGCUAUGUGCUGUCGCUCGUGCACGAUGUGCGCUUCCACCACUUUCCCAUCGAGCGCCAGCUCAACGGCACCUACGCCAUUGCCGGCGGCAAAGCGCACUGUGGACCGGCAGAGCUCUGCGAGUUCUACUCGCGCGACCCCGACGGGCUGCCCUGCAACCUGCGCAAGCCGUGCAACCGGCCGUCGGGCCUCGAGCCGCAGCCGGGGGUCUUCGACUGCCUGCGAGACGCCAUGGUGCGUGACUACGUGCGCCAGACGUGGAAGCUGGAGGGCGAGGCCCUGGAGCAGGCCAUCAUCAGCCAGGCCCCGCAGGUGGAGAAGCUCAUUGCUACGACGGCCCACGAGCGGAUGCCCUGGUACCACAGCAGCCUGACGCGUGAGGAGGCCGAGCGCAAACUUUACUCUGGGGCGCAGACCGACGGCAAGUUCCUGCUGAGGCCGCGGAAGGAGCAGGGCACAUACGCCCUGUCCCUCAUCUAUGGGAAGACAGUGUACCACUACCUCAUCAGCCAAGACAAGGCGGGCAAGUACUGCAUUCCCGAGGGCACCAAGUUUGACACGCUCUGGCAGCUGGUGGAGUAUCUGAAGCUGAAGGCGGACGGGCUCAUCUACUGCCUGAAGGAGGCCUGCCCCAACAGCAGUGCCAGCAACGCCUCAGGGGCUGCUGCUCCCACACUCCCAGCCCACCCAUCCACGUUGACUCAUGUGAGUUGGGGGCACCUGGAGUGUGGCCUUGGGGAUGGAGCUGGGGGGUGGCUGUGGGGGAGGCUGGGAUGGAGGCUGAGGUGCCUGUGGAGCGGAAGAAGCUCUCUCUCCACUGUCUCUGGGAGUCCUCAGUGGAUAUAGGUCUCAUGAGAGGGGCUGGACGUCCCCAGCUCAGGCCUUGCUGACCCUGUGGCCUUUAGCCUCAGAGACGGAUCGACACCCUCAACUCAGAUGGAUACACCCCUGAGCCAGGUGAGCGGGCAGAGGUGGGGACGCAGGUUGGGGCUCAUGCUGAGCCGAGAGCGGGGUCCCUGUCAGGGCUGUGGGGUUUCACGGGGGACGCUGUGGGCCGGGCCAGGCUGUGGCAGUUGGCUUGGUUAACACCUGUGCACACAUGUGCCCACACCCAUCACACCUGCCUGUGCACAUGUACGUCCCA
rnacentral:sRNA from 1 species